UACGUAGGGUGCGAGCGUUAAUCGGAAUUACUGGGCGUAAAGCGUGCGCAGGCGGUUAUUUAAGUCAGGUGUGAAAGCCCUGGGCUUAACCUAGGAAUUGCGCUUGAGACUGGAUAGCUUGGAGUGCGGCAGAGGGAGGUGGAAUUCCACGUGUAGCAGUGAAAUGCGUAGAGAUGUGGAGGAACACCGAUGGCGAAGGGCAGCCUCCUGGGCCAGCACUGACGCUCGAUGCACGAAAGCGU
rnacentral:rRNA from 1 species